UCUUCAGACCCACCCUCCCCGGUGGCUAAAACCCCUGCGACAGGCCUAAAUACGCGAACAUCACUCGUGGCUGUGAGCAGUCUCAGCACCACACUGUGAUCAGUGGAAUGAGAUGUCAGACGAAGCAGCCACACAAAGCCCAUCAUGCCUCUCUCUGCUCCCGUGUGUACAUAAUAACCCCCUCUCAGACACGGUGGCAGGGCUUUGAUUUUGUGGCUGUGGCCUCAGAUCUCAGAGGAGUACAGAAAGAAGAUGAUCAAUGGGAGUGAUCUGAUUCCUCCGGCCUGUGCCAGACCCUUUCUUAACCCUGCUAACCCAAUCAGCCGCUGUUGCCGGGCAACCGGUCCCAGGAGGAUGCAUUACAAGUGGGAGGGGCAUGGGUGGCCUUCCCGGGCACCCACAGAUCAUGCUGGAUAUAUUUCACUCGAAUGGCUUCAGUCUUAGCGUUGUUGUUUUUAUACUGGCUGCAGGAGCUUAUCGUAGGAGGAGGGAUGAUGCAGACUGGAGGGAAUGGAGACCGAGCGAUGGGUGGCACAGAUACAAGCACACUGUAAGAUGCUUAAAAAUUAAUGAUGAAGCUUAGUCAAAAAAGUUCUUUGGAGUCGUAAGAAAAAAACGACUGGCCACCGACUAUAGACACUAAUAUCUGGUUGAAUGUACGUCAGGAUAUCUUAGCAUCAAAAUUCAAGGUCAAGACAACAUCGAGUGAUUUGGUAACACUUUACAAUAACCAGAAUGUAUAUAUGGUAAAUAAAUAGUUUAUUCAUGUUUAAUCAUCAUUUAAAAACAGCAUAUAGACCAAUUAUAAAUGGCUAAUAGAUAGUUUAUUAAUGUAAGUUAAUAGUUACUUUACCAUUAACAAGCAAUAAAACUAUGAGGCGUAUAAGGUUUAUAUAGGGUUUAAAUAUUGGUUGUAAAACAUCUAGAUUGAAAUGUGUGUCAGUAGCACUUUGUAAAUGGUUAAUAUUUGGUUUUUAGACCAUCUAUAAACAUUACUUAGAUUUUAUUGUAAGUUAGGGUUAGGUUUUUAAAACUGUAAAAUUUACAAUUCAUUAAUGGUUUAUAUGCUAUUUAUAAAUGAUGACUAAACAUUAAUAAAAUAUCUGCUUACCAUUUAUAAAUGGUCUAUUUACCAUUUAUAAGUUAUGGUUAUUGUAAAGUGUUACCAGAGUUUUUCUUUAUUGGUUAAAUUUAUGUUACCAUUAUCAAAAUCCAGUGUCUACUGCCAACAUCAUGUUGAUGUAGAGCACUGAGGUUUGGCCAUAUGGACGCCAAGUUUCAUCAUUCAUACAUUUGUCCUUUUUCCCAGCCCAGACCUUGAAAACUCAACCCCAUCUCAGCCAAAACCAUAUAAUGCUUUUCUUGCCAAGUUUGUCAUCAUAGAUGCACAAAAUCUAAAGUUUGACAUCUUGAAAGUUAAAUACAAAGUUUGCCUGAUAUCAUAACAGUAUCAUCAGCAUAAUGUGAAAUUCUAGCACCAUUAAAGGAAGGAAUAUAUCAUGUAAUGAUGGUAUUAAAGAACUUAAGAUGAGUUUUUGGAUUGCCACAAAGCAGACUGUAAUCAAUACUUGAACUUUUUUGUAUAUUUUUAAAAAUAUAUAUAUUUUUGAUUCCUGUGCAUGUACUCGAAUACUGUAGAAACUGACAAUAAAAAGCUUGCAUCAAAAUUGACUAAAAGCGAAAGGUCCUUACAGGCACUUUAAGGGUUAUAAGCAACAAGUCUUUGGUUUUAUCAAACUAACUUCAUUUUGACAUUGAAAAGAGAAAUUAAGUAAAGAGACUGAAAAACAAUCGUAUUCGGUCUUUAGCUAUCAUCCCCACAAGCAUUAUAAACUUGGAUUUUUUGUUCAACUUAGAUGUUUAAAGUCUCUAAAAUUCAAAUACCUUCUAUCAUUUUGGACUAAGUCAUAGAGAUGGACAUUGAGAAAUGGUAAAGGUACUGAAAUAAGUGACUGAUAUCUGCCAGACUUAAAAUAAUGAGGUCCAUUUGAGUGAAUUUAAUUGCAAAUAAACAUUCCCCCUGUCCUGCUUCGUAAAAGAACAUCAGAAAACACAUCAGAGAUAUGACCUAAGAGUGUAUGUCUAAUAAUAAAGUGAAUGUUAGCUGAUAAAUGUUCUGCCAUAGUUAAGGCUUGUUACAGUUGUUUCUACUCUCACUUCUACGCCACAACCUUAAUCUCCUAACUACAGCCCAGGAUCGCCCCUCUCCUCUGGGGCUGGUGUGAGUGACAGCUUUCUGGAGGGGAAUCCACAGGAAGCUCUUUUAUCAGUGCCGCCCCCUGGGCCCUGUUUGACUGACUGCAGCUAAGAGCAAAAGUUCAGCCAUGGAAAGCUACUGCUGUAUUUAUAUUGGUCGAAUGCAUCCUCAAGCAACAGAGACAUUAUGUUGGGAGCGAAUCUGGUGUGGCAUCCAUCAACAUGUAGUCUACGCCUGACAACAUAAUCUCUGAUCUUGUAACAAUAGGACUUAAAUAUCGUAGCAUUACUAUGUACACAACUCAAAUUUCUCAUGAUUUUAUUCUCAUAAUAUUAUGACUUAAAGACCCACUUCAAUGAAAAUCAUGUUUUUCUUCUUGGUAAAAACUUCAUAAUCACAAUUUAACGACAACUGAGAACACCCUAUGCAGUAAAAAAACAACGAUUGGAUUGGGACUUUGAAUAAAAGCCAGAACUUACUGUGACCUUUCUACAUUUACAUUUUACUGUGACCUGAUAUAAGCAAAAGUUAAUGACAGCUUAUGUUUGCUUUCAUGAAAACUAGAGGCGAAGAAAUCUUGAUUUAACACACCUUCUAAAUAAAAAGUGUUUUGAGGAAACUAUUUAUUUUGAAAGUGUUCACUCAGGCUAACUAACUUUGAUUCAAGCUGUAUGGUAUGUGAAAUUGUAAGUGAAACAGGAAUAUCCACUUAGAAACUGAACCAAUGUGAGCAGAGGAUUCUCUUUUCAACAGGUCAAUAUUGGUAGUGGACCACAUGAAUAGUGGGUCUGUGACAUUUGAUAAAGGCCAAGCAGCUUGCCAUUGUUUGUAGCAGUCUCAGUCGCAGAGUGUGCGUUCGUGUUUAGCGUCUAUAAGUCUCGGCUCCGGGAGUGUUCGGGGAGUCGCAGAAGCUGACAGCAGUUCACAGCCGAUCUUAUUAAGAGAUCAAAACGUCUGUUAUUCAUCCAACCUUUACUAACGGAGACAUUAAGACUCUCACUUUUUAAUGACAGGUAUAUCUCCUAGAUGCCGAUCGAACAGUGAUACACGCCCAAACCAUCAAUUCUCCUUAUCUAUUCUUUUUUAAACCUUUUCCCCUGCAGCACACACCCAUCCCAUUUCUCAUGUUCCUCCUCUCCCGUCCUCUCUCUGUGGACACCGUACAAUACAUCAGAGCCCAAUUAGCAUCCUCUCGGUUCAGACGUCAUGGCAGUCUGGGUUCAAAGGCCACAGUUAGGGGAGCAAGUACCAGGAUUUGGACCAAGCACUGUACUCAUUACUGGGCUGUCAGCUGACCCCUUAUGUCAUUUUCCUCACAUCAUUAGAGAUACUGUAGGUCUAGGGGCUAAAGUGAGCACACACACUCACACACACACUCACACAGAGGCCACAGAGCCAUUAAUAUGCAUCCACUGACGUCACGCUAUCGAUCCAUCCAUUAGCACGCCAUUUUACCUCAAUGAAAUCACCACUGAGAAAGGACAGUGGCUGUAACUUUGGAGGCGUACAGGAUGAAGAAGGUCACACACAUUUAGGGAAAUUUAGCAGAUAUGUUCACACUUAAAUCACACACUUCUUUGGGCGUUAUAGUGCGUUAGGAGGUCACAGAAAAAUAUAAAAAACAAGAGGAUAAAGUGUCGUGUUGUGGUAGUUUUCGUGGACUCAUCAUUCAUCUGACACCGAUGUGAUGGUGGUGAUAAAUUAGAUCUGCUAAAGAUAGAGGUACAGCUAAUUCAUCUCACUUGUGCUGAUGUGGAUGUACCUGUCUUCUUUUGUUGCAGGAGGUAAGUCACAGGCAGACAUAAAUCAUCCGCCACCA